rnacentral:lncRNA from 1 species
UUAGAAUUUAAUUAGGAUUUCAUUAAAAUUUAAUUAAUAUUUAUUUAAGAUUUGAUUAAGAUUUAUUAAGAUUUGAUUAGGAUUUAUUAAGAUUUGAUUAGGAUUUAUUAAGAUUUGAUUAGGAUUUAUUUAGGCUUUGAUUAAGAUUUAACUAGGAUUUAAUUAAGAUUUAUAUUUUAGUAUAUUUUUGAAUUUCUAUAUUAUUUCUUUAUGAUUUCUUUAAAGGGUCUUUACUAAUACUUUGUAUUUCUUACAUGAUUCUUUUGCAAUUUUGAUUGAAUUUGAUUGAUGUUUGAUUAUACUUG